rnacentral:rRNA from 1 species
CAGUAGCCACGGGAAUACGAAGGGUGCAAGCGUUACUCGGAAUUACUGGGCGUAAAGCGUGCGUAGGUGGUGGUUUAAGUCCGUUGUGAAAGCCCUGGGCUCAACCUGGGGAUUGCAGUGGAUACUGGGUCACUAGAGUGUGGUAGAGGAUAGUGGAAUUUCCGGUGUAGCAGUGAAAUGCGUAGAGAUCGGAAGGAACAUCUGUGGCGAAGGCGACUAUCUGGGCCAACACUGACACUGAGGCACGAAAGCGUGGGGAGCAAACAGGAUUAGAUACCCCCGUAGUCCCUGUCUCUUAUAC